rnacentral:rRNA from 1 species
GUCCACGCCCUAAACGAUGACGACUGGUUGUUGGGGAGUUGUCCCUCAGUAACGAAGCUAACGCGUGAAGUCGUCCGCCUGGGGAGUACGGUCGCAAGAUUAAAACUCAAGGAAUUGACGGGGACCCGCACAAGCGGUGGAUGAUGUGGUUUAAUUCGAUGCAACGCGAAGAACCUUACCUACCCUUGACAUGUGCCGAACCCUGCCGAGAGGCGGGGUGCCCGCGAGGGAGCGGCAACACAGGUGCUGCAUGGCUGUCGU